GUGAGGAAUUUUCCGCAAUGGGCGAAAGCCUGACGGAGCAAUGCCGCGUGAAGGAUGAAGGCCUAUGGGUUGUAAACUUCUUUUCUCAGAAAAGAAUUAUGACGGUAUCUGAGGAAUAAGCAUCGGCUAACUCUGUGCCAGCAGCCGCGGUAAGACAGAGGAUGCAAGCGUUAUCCGGAAUGAUUGGGCGUAAAGCGUCUGUAGGUUGUUUAAAAAGUAUUCUGUCAAAGAUUAGGGCUUAACCCUAGAUAGGCAGAAUAAACUUUUAAGCUAGAGUUUGGUAGAGGCAGAGGGAAUUCCCGGUGGAGCGGUGAAAUGUGUAGAUAUCGGGAGGAACACCAAAGGCGAAGGCACUCUGCUGGGCCAAUACUAACACUGAGAGACGAAAGCGAGGGGAGCAAAUGGGAUUAGAUACCCCUGUAGUCC
rnacentral:rRNA from 1 species